rnacentral:rRNA from 1 species
AACGAACGCUGGCGGCAGGCUUAACACAUGCAAGUCGAACGCCCCGCAAGGGGAGUGGCAGACGGGUGAGUAACGCGUGGGAAUCUACCUAGUUCUACGGAACAACUGAGGGAAACUUCAGCUAAUACCGUAUACGCCCUACGGGGGAACGAUUUAUCGGAAUUAGAUGAGCCCGCGUUGGAUUAGCUAGUUGGUGAGGUAAUGGCUCACCAAGGCGACGAUCCAUAGCUGGUCUGGGAGGAUGAUCAGCCACACUGGGACUGAGACACGGCCCAGACUCCUACGGGAGGCAGCAGUGGGGAAUAUUGGACAAUGGGCGCAAGCCCGAUCCAGCCAUGCCGCGUGAGUGAUGAAGGCCUUAGGGUUGUAAAGCUCUUUCAGUAGGGAAGAUAAUGACGGUACCUACAGAAGAAGCCCCGGCUAACUUCGCGCCAGCCGCCGCGGUAA